GUAGGUGUAGUUUAAAAAAAUACUAGAUUGUGAUUCUAGCGUUAAAAGUUAAAAUCUUUUCACCCACC
rnacentral:tRNA from 1 species